GAAAGAUUAGUUAUUACCCCAUAACGACCUGAGGGUGAAAGUGGGGGUCCGCAAGGCCCGCGCAGCAGGAGCGGCCGAUGUCUGAUUAGCUAGUGGGUGGGGUAAAGGCCCACCAACGCGACGAUCAAUAGCUGGUCGGAGAGGACGAUCAGCCACACUGGGACUCAGACACGGCCCUGACUCCUACGGGAGGCAGCAGUGGGGAAUUUUGGACAAUGGGGGCAACCCUGAUCCAGUAAUGCCGCGUGUGUGAAGAAGGUCCUUCGGGUUGUAAAGCACUU
rnacentral:rRNA from 1 species